rnacentral:rRNA from 1 species
UACGUAGGGUGCGAGCGUUAAUCGGAAUUACUGGGCGUAAAGCGUGCGCAGGCGGUUUUGUAAGCUUGAUGUGAAAUCCCCGGGCUUAACCUGGGAACUGCAUUGAGGACUGCAAGGCUAGAGUACGGCAGAGGGGGGUGGAAUUCCACGUGUAGCAGUGAAAUGCGUAGAGAUGUGGAGGAACACCGAUGGCGAAGGCAGCCCCCUGGGCCUGUACUGACGCUCAUGCACGAAAGCGUGGGGAGCAAACAGG